AUUUGCACAAGCUCCCUGGCUGUCACUCAGCUGAAAGAAGAUCUCAUCUGCUGCGAUCUGAGAGUUGUUUCCUCAGCUGUAACCCAGAAAAUAUUUGAUAUGAGAGUGUCAAAAACUGUCUCCAAGGAGAACUGAAGAUUCGGGAGCCACGUUAGCUCUACACUUUUCUUACCUCAUACCACAAGAAUCGGCGUCUGAAGUGCAGGCAGGCUGCAAACCUGUGUCAUCAGCGGGCAGAAUAUUUGUUCUAAGGAUGCAUCUACUUCAGUUUGGAAAGGAGUGGUUUUGAAAUUUAUCGCCUAAUUGUCCCCACUUACUGCACCUUUGUUUGCAUCAUGGAGCAGUCUUGGAGUAUGUAACCUGGAUUCCUUUUGGAUGGAACUGAACUGUAAAAUACAAUCGAGGAUUGCAUUUAACUUGCCCCGAAGACUGAUGGGCAUUUGUUAUGGGACCAGCUAGAGUUGGUCUGAAGAUGAAUCUCCCUGAAGUGUGCAUAAUGCAGAUGGAUUGGCUGCCAUGAUAAUUAAUCAGGAGAAGAGGAAUACCAUAAUUUUGUCCGCUUGAAAACAGCGGACAGGAGAAGAAAAAAGAAGAGUUGCUCAUAAUCCUGUUGCUGCUGGGAUUGUGCGAGGAGCUAGCACGUCUGGCAGGCCACUGUCGCAGGCGUACGCUGACUUCCCGGGAUUCAUUCUGCACUCUUCAUCUGUGGAGGCUCCCUUUGGUCUACAGAGUGAGUGUACCAGAAAACUGGGUUUUGUUUUUUUUUCCUCUUUCUAUAUUUCUCACUUCC
rnacentral:lncRNA from 1 species